ACUGCGAAUGGCUCAUUAUAUAAGUUAUCGUUUAUUUGAUAGUACCUUACUACUUGGAUAACCGUGGUAAUUCUAGAGCUAAUACAUGCUAAAAAUCCCGACUUCGGAAGGGAUGUAUUUAUUAGAUUAAAAACCAAUGCCCUCUGGGCUCUUUGGUGAUUCAUGAUAACUUCUCGAAUCGCACGGCCUUGCGCCGGCGAUGGUUCAUUCAAAUUUCUUCCCUAUCAACUUUCGAUGUUUGGGUAUUGGCCAAACAUGGUUGCAACGGGUAACGGAGGGUUAGGGCUCGACCCCGGAGAAGGAGCCUGAGAAACGGCUACUACAUCCAAGGAAGGCAGCAGGCGCGCAAAUUACCCAAUCCCGACACGGGGAGGUAGUGACAAUAAAUACUGAUACAGGGCUCUUUUGGGUCUUGUAAUUGGAAUGAGUACAAUUUAAAUCCCUUAACGAGGAACAAUUGGAGGGCAAGUCUGGUGCCAGCAGCCGCGGUAAUUCCAGCUCCAAUAGCGUAUAUUAAAGUUGUUGUGGUUAAAAAGCUCGUAGUUGAACCUUGGGCCUGGCUGGCCGGUCCGCCUCACCGCGUGUACUGGUCCGGCCGGGCCUUUCCCUCUGUGGAACCUCAUGCCCUUCACUGGGUGUGACGGGGAAACAGGACUUUUACUUUGAAAAAAUU
rnacentral:rRNA from 1 species